GUGUUUCCCUAUUCGAAUAUCCAAAACCAAAAACUCAUAAGGACUUCGUCUACACCAUCAAAGCAUUGAGAAGCAAGAAGAAGCUUGUUUAGCGUUUUGGAGUCAAAUAUGACUAGAUAUCAUGUGUAUGAUUGAGUAUAAGAACUUGAACCGCUAUCGGAUU
rnacentral:sRNA from 1 species